GACAAAUGAAUGGAUGCUGCUUGUUUGCUUAUUUGCUUGUGCCCAGCUCAUUUUCUGUCUUAUACAGUCCAAGAUCAUUCCUGCCUACAGAAUAGCUCUUUGCACACAGAAGCCUUUGCCACCAUACCUGGGCAUUUCCUCAGCUGCCUGUAAACAUCCUCCAGUGAAGACUUCAUCCACACUGCAUGAAUGUGACAUGGGAAUUCCAUGAAGGCCUACAAUGUUGGCAGAGACAACAUCAUCUGACAUGCAUCUCAGGAGGCUUGGAGGCAGUUGGUGGACUCUUAUAAGAAAUCCAAGUCAAAUACUGGUAACUGUCAGA